ACCUGGUUGAUCCUGCCAGUAGCAUAUGCUUGUCUCAAAGAUUAAGCCAUGCACGUCUCAGUACAUGCCGCGAAAGUAUAAGGCGAAACCGCAAAUGGCUCAUUAAAUCAGUCACGGUUCAUUGGAUCGUGACGCGUUACUUGGAUAACUGUGGCAAUUCUAGAGCUAAUACAUGCAGCCGAGCUCCGACCGCCCUCCGGGUGCGAGACGAGCGCUUUUAUUAGAUUCUUCCCAGGCCAGCGAUGGCCGAGGACGUGAGCGAAGCUGAGUAACUUGGCCGAUCGCACGGGCUCGACCCGGCGACGCAUCCUUCAAGUGUCUGCCUUAUCAACUGUCGACGGUAGGUGAUGCGCCUACCGUGGUCGCCACGGGUGACGGGGAAUCAGGGUUCGAUUCCGGAGAGGGAGCCUGAGAAACGGCUACCACAUCUAAGGAAGGCAGCAGGCACGCAAAUUACCCAAUCCCGGCUCGGGGAGGUAGUGACGAAAAAUAACGACGCUGGACUCUACGAGACCCAGUCGUCGGAAUGAGUACGCUCUAAACCCUCUAACGAGGACCUACUGGAGGGCAAGACUAAUGCCAGCCGCUGCGGUAAUUUUAGCUCCAGUGGCGUAUACUAAAAUUGUUGCAGUUAAAAAGCUCGUAGUUGGAUGUCUGCUCUGGACGUAGGGGGCCGCUCGCGCGGUCCGCCAUGCGCACCCGGCAUUCUGCUCGCCACUCGGGGGUCGGUUUUCACCGGUCGGCCCUCGGUGGUCGGCGGUUAUCGCUUUGCAAAAAUUAGAGUGCUUCAAGCGGGCUCACCCAGGCUCGAAUAGUAAUGCACGGUACGAUGGAACAUGACUUCGGAUCUAGGUCCUCGGGGACAGACGGAGACCGAGGUGAUGAUUAAUAGGAGCAGACGGGGGCAUUCGUAUUCCGACGCUAGAGGUGAAAUUCUUGGACCGUCGGAAGACGGCCACUGCGAAA